UACCGGCACCCCGAGUGGUCGGGACGAUUAUUGGGCCUAAAGCAUCCGUAGCCGGUUCUGCAAGUCCCCCGUUAAAUCCAGCUGCUCAACAGAUGGGCCGCGGAGGAUACUACAGAGCUAGGAGGCAGGAGAGGCAAGCGGUACUCAGUGGGUAGGGGUAAAAUCCGUUGAUCCAUUGAAGACCACCAGUGGCGAAGGCGGCUUGCCAGAAUGCGCUCGACGGUGAGGGAUGAAAGCUGGGGGAGCAAACCGG
rnacentral:rRNA from 1 species